GGGGAUAUAGCUCAGUUGGUAGAGUGCUUGCCUUGCAGGUACAAGGCCCUGGGUUCAAUCCCCAGCAUCACAU
rfam:Ictidomys tridecemlineatus contig085737, whole genome shotgun sequence.